rnacentral:lncRNA from 1 species
UGUGGUCCUUUUCAACCCAGGCCAUUCUAUGAUUCCUUCAGUUUAGUGCUUGCUGCUGAGACACGGUGCAGAUUUACAGCUUGCCUGGAAAUCAGUGGAUCUGGAUUCUAAGUAAUCUAAAAAACUCUUAUCUGUAGACAUACAUAGGGAUAGAUAAUGUUUGCACCCUACAGUACACGUGCAAAUGUUGACUGAAAUAUUGUGGGAAAAUGCAAUUUAUUUCUUUUUUAGCUUUGGUGUGUUUUGGGCAUAAACAUUUUGAGAGCUUUUCUGUGAAGGAUUAAGCAAGUAUGACGGAAAUGAGAGGUAGUUGACAAAGAUCCUGUGAGAUUAAGUUUCCAAUUACCCAGUCUUCUAAUGGUGUGAGAUGUCCAAAAGUAACCAUGUGUAACAUAAGCAGCAAUCAUUUCUGUGAGGAAAUUAUCUUGAUGUUCAACAGGAUAAAGUCAGAGGUCCCAGAAGGUUGUGGAAAAGCUGACACUUCCAUUGCUUCAGUCCCAAGAGCUUAAAAUGAAAAUAAGAAUGAUGAAUUGAAAGAGUUGCCCAGAGACAUCUAUUGUAAAGAGUUUCUCUUGCUGCUUACACCAGGUGAGUUCACUUGGGCUAUUCAAACUUCCUGUAGUGCUGUACUUGAAUCCUUGAAAUUACAGGGAAAUGUUCCCAUGAAGUGAAACCAUCCUGAAGAUAAGCCACUGCCAGUCAAGAGCUGCAGUCACUGGCACAUUACGCGUAGGUGAAGUGGUUCACGUUGGCAGUUAAGGGCUCUACAGAGAAGUUUUGUCAUUCAUCUACAUCGAGUUUCCCCCACAAUCUGUCAAGUUCUUUGAAGUCCCUGGAGGCUUUGUAAGAAAUAUACGAUUUGAGAAAUCGCUUGCAUGACCUUUUCUCUCUUUUGUGGCCUGACCUUGGCAAUCAGCAAGACAUUCUUACCAUGUAAUGGCAUUUGAAACUUGCAGUGGUGAGAGCUAGAAUGAAGUACACAUGUGGAUCCCCCUAGCUGGGCUUGUAAUGCCGUUGCCAGAUGUUUAUUGUAGGAGAAAAUUUUCAAGGAGUGGAGCAAUUCAUAGCUGUUGUAUUAGUAGAAGCAGGAAUCUUCAGCUUUGUCUAGGAGUCAUAUGUAUGCAAACUAUUUUUGAAUUAAAUUUACAUCCUCUGUGAGAAUGAUGUAACCAUUUUAAAUUUGUUGUUAAGAAGGAGGGUAUCCCCUCACUGUACUGAGGAGUCAGCACCUUUCUAUCCUUGCUUUUGAAAGCACUGUUCUGCAUGUGACAGAUGUUGCCUGCUGUACCCUGUAGAUAUUUCUUACUAGAAUGCAGUUCAUGUGUGGGCCACCACGUUAGGAACUCUUACACAAGUUCAGUCUGUGAAGUUUAGCCCAUGUCAGCUGAAAAUACCAUAAAGAAGCUGAAUGUCGGAGAUUGCAAAAUUGUAUUUCAGGAUAUACUUCUUUGAAAUUGAGAUAAAGAUAAAUCACCACCUGAAUGUUGCACCACUACUACCUGCAACAACGCAAGCAUUUGGGGAAAGUGUAGCUAUCAUCUAAGAACGGUCAGGAAGAGUUGCAUUUAUCAUAUGUUAUAAACUUGUCUACCAGAUAUCUCACCUGGUUUGUACUGUGAAAUGCCAUCUGUUUUCUACUCAAAAUCUGUGGAAAAGUGACUGCUGAACUCUGUACUGAUGAGAUUAUGGAUGUGUAUUUUGAGAUUAGUACUGAUUUGUAGGUAUUUUAUAUUAUUGACUAUGUAGUUAUAUAGACAUACAAUUCUUGCAGUAGAACAGAUAAUUUUUACAUUCCUUUUACUAUUAAGAUGUUAACCUUUUAAUGUUUACAGUUAAAGGGGAACUGCAAGUGACUCCUUUUAGUUUGCGUCUAGGUGGAGGUGGCUGCUCCUGGGCAAUCCUUUGUGACUAUAAAAUGUUAUGAGCUGGGAGGAUAAUUUAUUUAUAUUAAAGUAUAUAAAAUUUGGUGUAUAUAUUUAAUAAAAAAUGAAUUUUCAU